rnacentral:rRNA from 1 species
AUUGAACGCUGGCGGCAGGCCUAACACAUGCAAGUCGGACGGUAGCACAGAGGAGCUUGCUCCUCGGGUGACGAGUGGCGGACGGGUGAGUAAUGUCUGGGGAUCUGCCCGAUAGAGGGGGAUAACCACUGGAAACGGUGGCUAAUACCGCAUAACGUCGCAAGACCAAAGAGGGGGACCUUCGGGCCUCUCACUAUCGGAUGAACCCAGAUGGGAUCUAGCUAGUAGGCGGGGUAACGGCCCGCCUAGGCGACGAUCCCUAGCUGGUCGGAGAGGAUGAGCAGCCACGCUGGGACGGAGACACGGUCCAGACUCCUACGGGAGGCAGCAGUGGGGAAUAUUGCACAAUGGGCGCAAGCCUGAUGCAGCCGUGCCGCGUGUAUGAAGGAGGCCUUCGGGUUGUAAAGUACUUUCAGCGGGGAGGAAGGCGAUGUGGUUAAUAACCGCGUCGAUUGACGUUACCCGCAGAAGAAGCACCGGCGAACUCCGUGCCAGCCGCCGCGGUAA